rnacentral:rRNA from 1 species
AUGAGGCGACGGCACGAGCUGGUUUCGCUGUCUUGUUGCUUGAGCGGCCUCGUGCUGGUGCUGCUGCUCCUCGCGCUGUCGGCUCGAGCUCAGCGGCAAGCGCAGACAGAUCCGUCCGAAGUGGCCUCGCUGAACGCCAUCUUCUCGAGGUGGGGCCUGCGGGCGUCCACGGCGUGGAACAUCAAUGGCGAGCCUUGCAGCGGUGCCGCCAUCGACAACACCGACAUAGAUAAUGAUCAUGAAUUCAAUCCUGCCAUUAAGUGCAUCUGCUCCUACAACGCCAGCACCAUCUGCCACAUCACCAGGCUGAAAGUAUAUAGACUAGAUGUGGUUGGUCAGAUUCCUGCGGAACUGCAAAAUCUAACUUACCUGACAAACCUGAAUUUAGCGCAGAAUUACUUGACUGGAUCUUUACCAACAUUUCUUGAAAAGCUGGCUCAGUUGCAGUAUCUACAUUUGGGAACCAAUGCAUUAACUGGAGUUUUACCGAGGGAGCUGGGUAACCUCGAGAAUCUCAUUUCGCUGGCCAUUAGCGCAAAUAAGUUCGUCGGUCCACUCCCGGAAGUAGUAGAAAACUUGACCAAACUUGAGCAACUAUGGGCUUCAGAUAAUGAUUUUACUGGGAAGAUACCUGAUUACAUUGGAAACUUAUCAAUUUGA